rnacentral:rRNA from 1 species
GACGAACGCUGGCGGCGUGCUUAACACAUGCAAGUCGAACGGAGUGGCGAACGGGUGAGUAACACGUGGGUGACCUGCCCUGCACUUCGGGAUAAGACUGGGAAACAGGGUCUAAUACCGGAUAGUGUGGGAUGGGACCGCGGCCUAUCAGCUUGUUGGAGGGGUAAUGGCCUACCAAGGCGGCGACGGGUAGCCGGCCUGAGAGGUUGGCCGGCCACAUCGCGCCUGCGACACUGGCCAGAAUCCUACGGGAGGCAGCAGUGGCGAAUCUUGCACAAUGGGCGGAAGCCUGAUGCAGCGGCGCCGGGUUGGGGAUGACGGCCUUCGGGUUGUAAACUCCUUUCACCAUCGACGCGGUAGCUGGAGAAGAAGCACCGGCUAACUACGUGCCAGCCGCCGCGGUAAUAC